rnacentral:rRNA from 1 species
CCUACGGGAGGCAGCAGUGAGGAAUAUUGGGCAAUGGGCGGGAGCCUGAACCAGCCAAGCCGCGUGAAGGAAGAAGGCGCCAAGCGUCGUAAACUUCUUUUGUCGGGGAACAAAGGGCGCCACGUGUGGCGUUGUGAGUGUACCCGAAGAAAAAGCAUCGGCUAACUCGGUGCCAGCAGCCGCGGUAAUACGGAGGGUGGGAGGGUUAUCCGGAUUUAUUGGGUUUAAAGGGUGCGUAGGCGGUCCGGAAAGUCAGCGGUAAAAGCCCGGGGCUAAACCCCGGCGAGCCGUUGAAACUGGCGGACUAGAGACGGCGAGAAGUACGCGGAAUGCGCGGUGUAGCGGUGAAAUGCAUAGAGAUCGCGCAGAACUCCGAUGGCGAAGGCAGCGGACCGGCGCCGGACUGACGCUGAGGCACGAAAGCGUGGGUAUCGAACAGGAUUAGAUACCCGGGUAGUC